GUCCACGCCGUAAACGAUGAGCACUAGCUGUCGGGGGUAUCGACCCCUCCGGUAGCGCAGCUAACGCGAUAAGUGCUCCGCCUGGGGACUACGGCCGCAAGGCUAAAACUCAAAGGAAUUGACGGGGGCCCGCACAAGCAGCGGAGCGUGCGGUUUAAUUCGAAGCUACGCGAAGAACCUUACCAGGGCUUGACAUGCACGGGACAGCCGGUGAAAGCCGGUCUCCUUCGGGUCCGUGCACAGAUGCUGCAUGGCUGUCGU
rnacentral:rRNA from 1 species